CAGAUUUGGCAGGAAGUAAAUCUAUCUCUCUGGAUACCCUUUUUCUUCCCGCAGCCUCUUCUCCAGCGGCGACCAUAUCUGCCGUCUGCGGCGGCGUUGAACUACUUCCGGAACGGCUAUGGUAAAUUUAUUUUUGACGGUAUUUACCUGUUUGCGGCGGCGUUGAGCUACUUCCGGAACGGCUAUGGAAAAUUUAUUUUUGACAUUAUGUACCUGUCUGCGGCGGCGUUGAGCUACUGCCGGAACGGCUAUGGAAGAUUUAUUUUUGACGAUCUUUAACCAGAUCCCAAAGAAAGACUUUAGUUAUAAGUUGGUAAGGUGGAUGUUGUUAGCCCAGUAUAUUUGCCAAGCUCAGGAUUUUAAGCUAAACCUCUCGUCUGCCAUGCUGUGAAGAGCAAUUUUGUUUGCAGAAGGAUGAAACAGCUGAUGGUUACAUCUUAGUCUUGGCUCUCCAUGGGCUUCAUCAGACAAGGAGAUUCUUCAUGGUAUUUGUAUCUAUUUAAUGAUCUUUGCUUGCUUUUCUUGAUCUUCUCAUCUCAGAAUGCUUAUGCACAUUGAAGAAAUCAUAUACACUAGUUCUUGUUUUCUCGCUUCUUAAUUAUGCAGCUAAGCAAAACAAAAAAUUAUGAAUCUAACCAUCUGAAAGGCAAAAAUCAUAUGCUUAGUUUUUAGUGCAACUUGACUUCCGCCAAUUUGUUAGAGGCUGAAGACAUAGUUGACUUUCUUAGUUUUCUACACGAUCUGCAAUGAUACCAAAUCUAUUGUAUGUGGUCUGUUACUUACAUCAAUAACAUUACCAGUCAAAAAAGAAAGCCAAACUCUAUAUUCAUCUCCUGAAAUGCCUCAAGGAUUUCCAAAGCAGAGGGACGUUCUUCUUUUGCUCUUAUACUGACACACUUUGCCCCUAUAGUAAGUAGUCUCCUUGCUAUUUCUCCUUCGCAUCCAGCAGCUCUCAUGUGUUGCUUGACGAAUAUUGUGAGAUCCUUACCUUGGUGGAGAUAUGCAUCUAUUCGUGUACCGAAUCGGUAGCCAUUCUCCGGUACCUCAACUGCGUGUGUGAGGAGCUGGAAUAGGAUGACCCCAUAGGCAAAGACAUCACGUCCAGGGCUUGCAUCUAGAGAAAGUGAAUGGACAUGAUAAUUUAGUAUUUCCAUGACACAACCAUGAACCAACACAUUGCGAAAAAAAUAAGCAUUAAUUGGAUUAUGAUAAUAAUCUUUUUAGUGAUUACAGUUGGAUAUCUGAUAAUCAUCUUUCUACUGAUUAUACAAGUCUUGCUAUAGUUUUGAAUGUACAAGAAUUCUUGGGUUGGUAAUUAUAUAUAGGUUUAUCUAAUAGUGAAUGGUAGUGGGAAAUUUUUCGAUUCUGGCUAAUUAGAGGCUUGGAGAGAACUUUUUAAACUGAAGAUGUGACAAAUCUUUCUCAUUCAAUCUAUAAGAUAAACGCAUCUUGCAAAAUGACUGGAAACUGUUCAGCUAAAAGAUAUUAUGUAUGAGGGGCAUACAAAUCAUUGUCUGGAACAAUUACAAAUGUAUUCAUUGAAUUGAAAUUUGUGUUCUUAGAGAUUAUUUAUUGUAUAGGGUUUUAUAAUAUAUUGCAAAGUAUGCCCUUAAACAUAUAAUAUCUCAUUCAUCCCACAUUCUCUCUCUUCCACCUUCAUAGAAAUUAGACUAUGAAAGUAUGCCCUUAAACAUAUAAUAUCUCAUUCAUCCCACAUUCUCUCUCUUCCACCUUCAUAGAAAUUAGACUAUGAAAGUAUGCCCUUAAACAUAUAAUAUCUCAUUCAUCCCACAUUCUCUCUCUUCCACCUUCAUAGAAAUUAGACUAUGAAAGUAUGCCCUUAAACAUAUAAUAUCUCAUUCAUCCCACAUUCUCUCUCUUCCACCUUAAUAGAAAUUAGACUAUGGAUCCCAACCGCAACCCCCAAUUUCUAUGAGAUCCUAUAUAAUGUUGUCCACCAUAUUAAAUAGAAACAGCUCUAUCCGUACAAGUGGACACCGUUGCAUCAAGACACACCACCUUUUUGGACAAAGUUAUGUUGCAAUAUACCACUCAUGACCAUCUCUCAUUCACUAUUCAGAACCCUAUGAUAACAUAUAAUUGUUGUGAACAUUAAGCGUUUGGUUGUACCACAAAUUUAAAGGCUAUAUGAAAAAAUGUUGUUUAGCUCAUACCAUCACUGGAGUCAUUAUAAAGUGGUGUGCCACAUGCUUCCUAUGUUGUCUCCUGAAUAGCUUAAUAAUCCGAAAUCACAUAAGAUUGGAUUAUCACUCUGCGCAAGUAUGAAAAAAAUAGAAACAAUCAUUUUAAUAACAUUGAAUAUCUAUCUAUCUAUAUAUAUAACUUGCAUAAGAAUAAUCUAGGAAAUUCGUUACCCCAUCUAAUAAAAUGUUUGGGGGUUUAAGAUCACACAAACAGCUGCCUCUGGUUUUGUGCACCAAAUGUAGUAUAUAGGCAAGGCCUCGUAGAACUUUUCUAACCUGAGCCCAACUCAAAUCUGAAGCAAAGAAAAUAAAAAUAUGUAAGUUAAAAUGCAAUGAGAAGGUUUAGACAACAUAUGAACUACAGAAAGAUGUACCUUCUAUUCUAGUACUUAAAUCUCCACCAGGGAUCCACUUUGUAACUAGGAAAUAAACCUCUUUAUUGGAAUCGAGCAGUCCAUAACCUUGACCUAUGAGCUUAAUCAUAUUAUCGUAUGGCAUGAGUUGCAAAAUACUUGCAUCAGUCUGCACAAGCAAAUUUUCAGUUGGAUUGAUAACUUCAGUCACUGAAAGAUACAAAACAAACUACUGAAAGAUUCAGAACAAACUAUUGUAUCACCUCAAGAUGAGUAAAUUGACCUUUAGAAACUUUGAAUGCAUAUUCACCGGGCCGUAGUCCCCAAACAUUUCCAAGCAAUAAAGGGACUCUGUAAACAUCACCGUACGAUCCAGAAGCUUGAGGUCCUUGAGGUCCUGAUUCCCUCAAAACUGCAGCUAACAGGCUUGGAUUCUCUAGGAGUUUUGUAGUAUAGUUUUGGACUGUUCAAACUCUUAGAGCUGUCAGUAUGACUAUAAACGCAUUGGGUGCACUUAUUAACUUGAUUAAAGGUUGGAACUUUUAGAUGCAUUCUAAUUUUUUAACAAGGCAGUCAAGUUGAUUGGAAAGGAACUUCAAGUGCCAUUGCAUUUAGCAGGACUAAUAGAAGCACUAGACAGAUGUGAAGGGGCAAAGUUUGCACUCCGUUUCUACGAAGUAAAGCAAGUCGAAUAUAUCUGGUGGUCCUGUCCAUCUGGGACAACAGAAACCCAAGCUAUGACAUUCUUUGACUUUAAGCUUUACCUUUCCUUUAGAAGAUCCUUAGAAGAUGGACAACAGUAGCUAUGACAUUCUCCUUUUUUGGAUGUUUUAUUCUUUUUGGUAGAGCUCAUUACGUUAUAGGAGUACUUUGCUACUCAUAAUGUAACAGGUUGUGAAAGGGAGCACCUAAAGAAAAAGGCAACCUGAAGCAUUAAGCUCACGCUAUGCGCAAGGUUCGAGGAAAGGACACCACAAGUCAGUUGUACGUUGUUUUACCUUGCAUUUCUAUAAGAGGUUGUUUCUUCAGAUUAAACCAAUGACCUCUUUGUCACGAGGUGGCAACUCUUACCAUUGCAUCAAUGAGCAUUCAAUGGGCUAUAUCUUUUUCAAGAAUAUGUGGAUUUCUCUGUGUGACUUUCCUCUUAGUGUGCUUUCCUUUUCUAUAGCAGUUGAUGAGCACACACUGAAAAAUACAGAGCUAAAGGCAGGAUAAAAGUUGUUUAAGAAGGGUACUAAAGGAGGAUGUGUUUCUUCUCACCAGCUACAACUGCACAGAACUCUACCUAAGACCUUUCAGUGUCCUCAUGGGACAAACAUAAGUUUGUUAUUUGUUAUUUCUGACCAUUUGCAAAUGACGAAUUCAAUAAUUAUAGUAUGAUUUUGGCCUUUUUAGGGGAAUUUUCACAAUACAGUUUAUGACUUGUUAUCAUUUUCUAAAGGAAUCAUAAACCCAUGUACCUUUGGACUUGCUGAGGCUGAGGGGGAGGCUGAGGCGGAGGCUGCUGUCCAGCCGGAGGCCGUGGUGAUGGUGGCGGUGGUGGCAGUGGGGGCGGUGGAGGCGGGAGCCGUGGUUGCAACUCAUGUUCUUUUCCUUUCUUCCGCAUGGAAAAUGAGGUUAAAAGACUUUGAAAUUACCGAGUUCUUUUUAAAGGAUGAAUACAUGGAUUUCAAUGCAGGUAUUUUAAUGCAUGGAUUGAUAAUCAAUAUUUUUAAGCGGACGUUGGGUUCUUUGCAUUAAAAAUGAAAUAAUCAGUGCAUAAUAUAAAGUUUAAAAUUUACUGUUCUUUUUAAUGUAAAAAAAGAAAAAAUAUGGAAGAUGGAUCAAGGUUAUAUUGGUCUUUUAGGUGUUUUAUUCUAUGUUGAAUUCAGCAUAAAAUGCUACAUUCAAAUUGGAUUCCAGUAAUCAGAUAACCCUUAAAUGUUCUUUAGGGAUUACAAUGUGGGGAUAUUUCUUAUUGGAUGGAGUAUUAUAUUUCUUAAUAUAUUC